rnacentral:rRNA from 1 species
GACGAACGCUGGCGGCGUGCUUAACACAUGCAAGUCGAACGCUGAAGCUCAGCUUUUGUUGGGUGGAUGAGUGGCGAACGGGUGAGUAACACGUGAGUAACCUGCCUCCUUCUUUGGGAUAACGCCCGGAAACGGGUGCUAAUACUGGAUAUUCACUGGUCUUCGCAUGGGGGUUGGUGGAAAGGGUUUUUCUGGUGGGGGAUGGGCUCGCGGCCUAUCAGCUUGUUGGUGGGGUAAUGGCCUACCAAGGCUUUGACGGGUAGCCGGCCUGAGAGGGUGACCGGUCACAUUGGGACUGAGAUACGGCCCAGACUCCUACGGGAGGCAGCAGUGGGGAAUAUUGCACAAUGGGCGCAAGCCUGAUGCAGCGACGCCGCGUGAGGGAUGGAGGCCUUCGGGUUGUGAACCUCUUUCGCUCAUGGUCAAGCCGCAACAAUGGUUGUGGUGAGGGUAGUGGGUAAAGAAGCGCCGGCUAACUACGUG